GGGGCUGUCUGCUAGCGGUAGGCUUCCUGGCUUGGGACCAGGUGACCCCGGUUCGAAUCCGGGCAGCCUCACCA
rnacentral:tRNA from 1 species